rnacentral:tRNA from 1 species
AUUUAUAUAAUUUAAUUUAAAAUAUUACAUUUUCAUUGUAAAAAUAAAAAAUAACUUUUUUAUAAAUA